AACGAACGCUGGCGGCAGGCCUAACACAUGCAAGUCGAGCGAGGACUUCGGUCCUAGCGGCGGACGGGUGAGUAACGCGUGGGAACGUGCCCUUUGCUACGGAAUAGCCCCGGGAAACUGGGAGUAAUACCGUAUGUGCCCUUUGGGGGAAAGAUUUAUCGGCAAAGGAUCGGCCCGCGUUGGAUUAGGUAGUUGGUGGGGUAAUGGCCUACCAAGCCGACGAUCCAUAGCUGGUUUGAGAGGAUGAUCAGCCACACUGGGACUGAGACACGGCCCCGCCUCCAACGCGAGGCAGCAGGGGGGAAUCUUUGACAAGGGGCGCAAGCCUGAUCUAGCCAUGCCGCGUGAGCGAUGAAGGCCUUAGGGUUGUAAAGCUCUUUCAGCGAGGAAGAUAAUGACUGUACUCGCAGAAGAAGCCCCGGCUAACUCCGUGCCAGCCGCCGCCGUAAGAC
rnacentral:rRNA from 1 species